CUCCUUUCUCCAAGUGAGUCAUGAGAAUUGUGGGGUGCGAGUCCGCACUUGGUUGAGCGGAAGAAUCAGUCAGAAAGUGAUGUGAUGGGCUCUUCGUCCUGAAAGGAGAAGCAUUUCCAGACACCCUACUGCACUGCUUCACCUAUGUCCCGCCCGUGUGGAGGAUAAGCUCGGCCAUGGAGUGGAACUUGGCUGGCAGACUGUAAUCAGAGUUACAUUUUAAAAGAACUAUUUCCACAUUUUGAUAAGAAGCUGCUAGAGUAAAAG
rnacentral:lncRNA from 1 species